ACUCUUUGCCUGUGCUAACAGAACUACCAAUGAUUUGGCUCUCAAAAAUAUGGACUAUGCCACCCAGAAAGAAAGCAAACAAGACCAUAGCAACAGUGGGCAGGAAGCUUCCCAAGCAUGAAGUGACUGCCUCAUCUGCUCAGGUCUUCCAGGAUUGCUCCACUAGUGCUGGACUUCACUAUUAGUACCCUGCCAGACCCAGGUGUUUCCUACAUCCAAGACAGCACCAAAGCACCUACCACAGGUGCCCCAGGCCAACCUCAAAGACUGCAUCAAGCCGGACCUGCACUUCCACUCCCAGACACAGAGGUUCUCACAGACCUUGGAGAGCAUUAAAACAGUCUACGUUCCUGGACAUGGCCAACAUUUCAGCCUUUUGACCUCCCUAUCGCUGCCCUAGUGUCAGCAGGAAGUAGCUAAAGGUGAUUGAUUUCUUCACCCGUGAUCCACUUGUUAUCAACAAAAGGCUUAAAUGGUGUGCUUCAGGCCCAGGACCAAAAGCUCCAGGCACUCCCAGCAUUCCUCAGUCCCUAUCUGGGCAUGGCUGGCAACCCCACCCUCUAAUUCUGAACUUUCCAGGGCAGGGGCUUCCCCUCCUCCCCCUCAUGUAAUCUGGACAUUUUGAAGCUCUUACUUUUUUCAUCUCUCUUACCCCCUUUCAGAGUGACCAAGAGCUGCUUCCAAUAAACCACCAAUUAUAUACUUUAACUUGCCUCACAUGGGAAGCAGCCCAAGCGCCUCAUUUUUAAAUUAAAUAAAAAGGGAGGAAUGUUAGUAUUUAGGCAGCCUGCUUCUGGGUUCCCUAGCAAACUCUGAUGUCAUCAUGUGUCACCCGCCAGGUAGUUGUACCUGGCAGGAGUGGUUCAGUUACUCCAUAAAAGACCAACUUGUCACUUUGUCUCUCUCUUGCUCUCUUACUCUCUAGCUCUCCUGCUCUUCCCUUCUCUCUGUUGGGGAGUUCUCUCCCCUCCCCCUAUGA